rnacentral:rRNA from 1 species
GAUGAACGCUGGCGGCGUGCUUAACACAUGCAAGUCGAACGAGAAUCAACGGAUUGAGGAUUCGUCCAAAUGAAGUUGAGGAAAGUGGCGGACGGGUGAGUAACGCGUGAGGAACCUGCCUCGGAGUGGGGAAUAACAGUUGGAAACAGCUGCUAAUACCGCAUAAUGCAACGAAAUCGCAUGACUUUGUUGCCAAAGAUUUAUCGCUCUGAGAUGGCCUCGCGUCUGAUUAGCUAGUUGGCGGGGUAACGGCCCACCAAGGCGACGAUCCGUAGCUGGUUUGAGAGGACGACCAGCCACACUGGGACUGAGACACGGCCCAG